AGCCGAUUCAACACAUGAAACGUUAUAAACAAGCCUCAUAUACGCAGAAUUGUGAAUAUCCUAUUUCUGCCAGAUGUUGCUAAAUGCCAACUUUGAUGGCCUAUUGAGCUUCAAACUCACGCAGGAAUAGAUUUCCAGAAUAUUAGGCACCCGUAUAUCUUUUCUGGCCUAGAUUGCCAAUUAUGUUCUGUCAGCUUGCAUCUGUGCCUUUCUCGCUUUGUGAGAAUAUGUUUCUCCCAUUUUUCCACCUUUAUUUUGUCAUCUUUCUAAAUUCUAAGAACCAUUUGGAUGAAGAAAGCUUCAUAACAAGAAUAAACCAGGUGACUUUAUCCGUUAAGUUCUGUAGUAUUCAGUGUUGUGCUUAUAGACAGAAGGUGAAUCCUCCAAAAUUGGAACUUAACAAUAGGUUGAAAUGAAUGCAGG
rnacentral:misc_RNA from 1 species